GCGAUCAUGGUGGAAGGGUACCACGUCUCACUGUGGAUGAGAAGGCUGCGGGUUCGAAACCCGCUGAUCGCC
rnacentral:tRNA from 1 species